GGAAGUAAAAGACGUAACAAGGUCUCCGUUGGUGAACCAGCGGAGGGAUCAUUACUGAGUUACCGCUCUACAACCCUUUGUGAACAUACCUAACUGUUGCUUCGGCGGGCAGAGGUCCCUCGCGGAUCUCUCCCGGCAACGCCCUCACGGGCGGAGCGCCCGCCGGAGGAUACCAAACUCUAUUUUAACGACGUUUCUUCUGAGUGGCACAAGCAAAUAAUUAAAACUUUUAACAACGGAUCUCUUGGUUCUG
rnacentral:misc_RNA from 1 species